UGGGGAAUAUUGCGCAAUGGGCGAAAGCCUGACGCAGCAACGCCGCGUGAGUGAUGAAGGCCUUCGGGUCGUAAAGCUCUGUCGGAGGGAACGAAUGCUCUUGAGGUUAACAGCCUCGGGAGGUGACGGUACCCUCAAAGGAAGCACCGGCUAACUCUGUGCCAGCAGCCGCGGUAAUACAGAGGGUGCAAGCGUUGUUCGGAAUCAUUGGGCGUAAAGGGCGUGUAGGCGGUAUGUUAAGUCAUGUGUGAAAUCCCUCGGCUCAACCGGGGAACGACGCAUGAAACUAGCAAGCUAGAGUACCAAAGAGGGUGGUGGAAUUCUUGGUGUAGCGGUGAAAUGCGUAGAUAUCAAGAGGAACACCUGAGGUGAAGACGGGUUGCUGGGCUGACACUGACGCUGAGGCGCGAAAGCCAGGGGAGCAAACGGGAUUAGAUACCCCAGUAGUCCCUGAGCGGGCUGGCAAGGCGCAU
rnacentral:rRNA from 1 species